rnacentral:snRNA from 1 species
GUGCUCACUUCAGCAGCAUGUAGACUAAAAUUGCAAUGAUACAGAGAAGAUUAGUAUGGCCCUUGAGCACAGAAAUUCAUGAAGCAUUCCAUAUUUAA